UACGUAGGGUGCGAGCGUUAAUCGGAAUUACUGGGCGUAAAGCGUGCGCAGGCGGUUUUGUAAGACAGGCGUGAAAUCCCCGGGCUCAACCUGGGAAUGGCGCUUGUGACUGCAAGCUGGAGUGCGGCAGAGGGGGAUGGAAUUCCGCGUGUAGCAGUGAAAUACGUAGAUAUGCGGAGGAACACCGAUGACGAAGGCAAUCCCCUGGGCCUGCACUGACGCUCAUGCACGAAAGCGUGGGGAGCAAACAGG
rnacentral:rRNA from 1 species